rnacentral:rRNA from 1 species
CCUGAUUAGCUAGUUGGUGAGGUAAAGGCUCCACCAAGGCGACGAUCAGUAGCUGGUCUGAGAGGAUGAUCAGCCACACUGGAACUGAGACACGGUCCAGACUCCUACGGGAGGCAGCAGUGGGGAAUUCCUGGACAAUGGGGGAAACCCUGAUCCAGCCAUUCCGCGUGAGUGAAGAAGGCCUUCGGGUUGUAAAGCUCUUUCAGGAGGGAAGAAACGGUUGCAGCUAAUACCUGCGACUAAUGACGGUACCUUCAGAAGAAGCACCGGCUAACUACGUGCCAGCAGCCGCGGUAAUACGUAGGGUGCGAGCGUUAAUCGGAAUUACUGGGCGUAAAGCGUGCGCAGGCGGUUUUGUAAGUCAGAUGUGAAAGCCCCGGGCUCAACCUGGGAACU